CCUACGGGUGGCUGCAGUGGGGAAUAUUGGACAAUGGGGGGAACCCUGAUCCAGCCAUGCCGCGUGUGUGAAGAAGGCCCUCGGGUUGUAAAGCACUUUCAGUGAGGAAGAACGCCUGGUGGUUAAUACCCAUCAGGAAAGACAUCACUCACAGAAGAAGCACCGGCUAACUCCGUGCCAGCAGCCGCGGUAAUACGGAGGGUGCGAGCGUUAAUCGGAAUUACUGGGCGUAAAGCGCGCGUAGGUGGCUUGAUAAGCCGGUUGUGAAAGCCCCGGGCUCAACCUGGGAAAGGCAUCCGGAACUGUCAAGCUAGAGUGCAGGAGAGGAAGGUAGAAUUCCCGGUGUAGCGGUGAAAUGCGUAGAGAUCGGGAGGAAUACCAGUGGCGAAGGCGGCCUUCUGGACUGACACUGACACUGAGGUGCGAAAGCGUGGGUAGCAAACAGGAUUAGAUACCCUAGUAGUC
rnacentral:rRNA from 1 species